rnacentral:misc_RNA from 1 species
GAGCCCCAGGCCCCAUGGGCCCAGUCGGACCUCAGGGACAGAAGGGACUCACAGGAGAACCCGGUCAAACCGGCGCUCAAGGUUAUCCCGGAUAUCCCGGUGAGGCGGGAGAGCCCGGACUAGCCGGACCAGCCGGUCCCAUGGGACCAAAUGGAAUGCAAGGAAUACAAGGAUACGGUGGGGCCCCGGGACAGGACGGCGCUGUAGGUGAACCAGGACCCGUCGGAAAGCCUGGUCCGGAAGGAGCAAGAGGACCAGUAGGACCUCGCGGAGAGUUCGGACCUGCGGGGAAACAGGGAUAUCCUGGAUACAGAGGACGACGAGGAGACAGAGGAUACACUGGAUAUCCAGGACCACGUGGUCCAGCAACUACCUAUUACUACGCCCCUGCUAUGGCCAGAUACGUCCCAGUUCAGUCUGCACCCUCCCGAUCUAAGGGAGUUUCAUACGCCCCAGUUGUUGCUGCACCUAAAAGUGGUGCAUAUGCACCAGUUGUUGCAGCGCCCUCAAAAAGCAUGAUGUAUGCUCCUGCAGCUGCUAAGUCAUCAUGGGGCGCACCAGCCCAAGUUGUAGGCAAGUCUUCUUGGGGAGCCCCAGCAAUGGCGAUGGCACCAAAAUCUUAUGCUCCAGCUCAAGCUUACUAUAAAGGACAAUAAAAUAUUUCGCUG